GGUGGCUUGUAGGUAAAGACCCAAAGGAGGUGAGUAAAGUAAUUAUAAUUAGGGAGUAAUAGAAAAAUAUUAGUUAUCAUCACCAGAGCAUUCUUCACAUAUUAUUGUUAUGGAAACAUCUGGUUAUUAUUCUAUUAUUGCUACUCUCUUUGCUGCAAUUAAUGUUCUUUUUUUUUUCUUUUUUUUUUGAGACGGAGUCUCAUUCUGUCACCCAGGCUGGAGUGCAGUAGUGCAAUCUCGGCUCACUGCAACCUCUGCCUCCCAGAUUCAAGCGAUUCUCCUGCCUUAGCCUCUCAAGUAACUGGGAUUACAGGCGCCUGCCACCAUGCCAGGCUAAUUUUUUUGUUUUGUUUUGAGAUGGAGUCUUGCUCUGUCACCCAGGCUGGAGUACAGUGGCACAAUCUCGGCUCACUGCAACCUCCGCCUCCGGAGUUAAAGUGAUUCUCCUGCCUCAGCCUCCCAAGUAGCUGGGAUUACAGGUGCAUGCCACCACGCCGGGCUAAUUGUUGUAUUUUUAGAAGAAACGGGGUUUCACCAUGUUGGCCAGGCAGGUCUUGAACUCCUGACCUCAGGUGAUCCACCCACCUCAGCCUCCCAAAGUGCUGGGAUUACAGGCAUGAGCCACCGCGCCCAGCCCACGAUUAAUGUUCUUAUAAUCACGCCACUGCGCCUGGCCGGUCUCGAUCUCUUGACCCCGUGAUCCGCCCGCCUUGGCCUCCCAAAGUGCUGGGAUUACAGGAGUGAGCCACUGCGCCUGGCCUAUAAAAUAAUUUAUACACUCUUUGUCUAGCCAGUUAGUCUGCUACUAUGUGAUGAGACUACAGUUAAGGUUCCAGGUUCACUCUUCCUAUGGGAGGACCCUGUGGCCACAGAGCACAUCAUGUGUAUCUACCCAGCUGCUCGAAAGCAGGACAUCAGGCAGGAAAAUGUAAUUGAUCAGAAAAACAAGUAGGCCGGGCAUGGUGGCUCACGCCUGUAAUUCCAGCACUUUGGGAGGCCGAGGUGGGUGGA
rnacentral:lncRNA from 1 species